AGGCCCGUCAGAGAACAGAAGGAACAUGCGGUCCUGUGGCUUCAGGGCAGUCCAUCCGGGGAGGGGUAAGCCUGUCCCCGAGGACCCUUGUGGUCACAAACUCUCACAUCCUCCCGAUGAGGGGACGACACCCGUGUGUGUUGCCCUGCAGGCUCCCGGGCACCUCCUGAAUGUUCCGUGUGACGCACACUAGCAUGGGCUCUUUAAUGUCUCAUCCAGACUUCUCCCGUCAUCACUGAAAACCAACCACUGGCUGUCAGCACACACAUGGGAAAUGGGAGAACUCACGGUAUGAAGGUGUCAGAAGACAAAGUGAAGCCCCACCACCUGCUCCCACCACGGCAGGGAGGCAGGGAGGCCGGGAACCCGCUCACGGCCUGCUGCCAGGAAGUGCACAAGAUUUUAGGGAAUGAAUGCUGUCGACUAACCUCACCAGUCCCUCCGUCUCACUGUCCCGGACCCUCACUGCGUCUCUUCAUCUUGCUUCACUGUGUAAUAUGCGUCUCUGGAAGCUCCCUUCAAUCACUUUUUGAAAAAGAAGUUGAGGUGUACAUGAAUCAACUUGUAUCAUGUGGGUGCCAAAAGCUUUUUGGCAAAAGAACAGAAGGCGAAAACGUCUCGGGUGCACCCCGUUAUCUGUGUUCUCCAGAACAGUCCACCACGAACGCACUGCGUGGGGACAGCUGCUGUCAGGGCGGGAAGGCCAGCACAGUCCUGAACAGAGGACUGAAGGAAAUAAUAAUGUCUGUGUUCAUCCCCAAAGCAGAAGAACUGGUACACACCCUUAAAUAAUGCAAUAUUGUUGUUAACGACGGCAUUAAAUACUGUGUUGCCUCUCAGA